AAGGAUCAUUAAUGAAAUUGAAACGCCUUUCGGUCGUGCUGGCUUUUGCAAGUGCACACCGUCUGGUUUCAUCCAACACCCUUGUGCACCUUUGGCCUCGCGUUGUAAUGACGCGGGGAUCUUUACACAAACUCGUAUGUAACAGAAUGUAAAUCUAGUGCGUAAGCACGAAAUGUACAACUUUCAACAACGGAUCUCUUGGCUCUC
rnacentral:misc_RNA from 1 species